GAGUGGCGAACGGGUGAGUAACACGUGGGUAACCUGCCCAUCAGAAGGGGAUAACACUUGGAAACAGGUGCUAAUACCGUAUAACACUAUUUUCCGCAUGGAAGAAAGUUGAAAGGCGCUUUUGCGUCACUGAUGGAUGGACCCGCGGUGCAUUAGCUAGUUGGUGAGGUAACGGCUCACCAAGGCCACGAUGCAUAGCCGACCUGAGAGGGUGAUCGGCCACACCGGGACUGAGACACGGCCCAGACUCCUACGGGAGGCAGCAGUAGGGAAUCUUCGGCAAUGGACGAAAGUCUGACCGAGCAACGCCGCGUGAGUGAAGAAGGUUUUCGGAUCGUAAAACUCUGUUGCUAGAGAAGAACAAGGAUGAGAGUAGAACGUUCAUCCCUUGACGGUAUCUAACCAGAAAGCCACGGCUAACUACGUGCCAGCAGCCGCGGUAAUACGUAGGUGGCAAGCGUUGUCCGGAUUUAUUGGGCGUAAAGCGAGCGCAGGCGGUUUCUUAAGUCUGAUGUGAAAGCCCCCGGCUCAACCGGGGAGGGUCAUUGGAAACUGGGAGACUUGAGUGCAGAAGAGGAGAGUGGAAUUCCAUGUGUAGCGGUGAAAUGCGUAGAUAUAUGGAGGAACACCAGUGGCGAAGGCGGCUCUCUGGUCUGUAACUGACGCUGAGGCUCGAAAGCGUGGGGAGCGAACAGGAUUAGAUACCCUGGUAGUCCACGCCGUAAACGAUGAGUGCUAAGUGUUGGAGGGUUUCCGCCCUUCAGU
rnacentral:rRNA from 1 species